AUAUUAAUAAGCGGAGGAAAAGAAACUAACAAGGAUUCCCUUAGUAACUGCGAGUGAAGAGGGAAGAGCCCAGCACCGAAUCCUUCAGCUUCGAGCUGACAGGAAGUGUGGUGUUUAGUGUGGUCGCUGGACGUUAGACCAUUGCCCAAGUCCCAUUGACUAGGGCUCGAUGACCCAAAGUGGGUGUCAGGCCUGUAGUGGUGGUGCUCUUGCGUCCAAUGAUUACACGAAGAGUCGGAUGUUUGUUCGCAG
rnacentral:rRNA from 1 species